rnacentral:miRNA from 1 species
GCUGACCAUGUGUGUGCAAGAGG